UACGUAGGGGGCUAGCGUUGUCCGGAUUUAUUGGGCGUAAAGAGCGUGUAGGCGGCCAGGUAGGUCCGGUGUGAAAACUCGAGGCUUAACCUCGAGAUGUCAUCGGAAACCAUCUGGCUAGAGUCCGGAAGAGGAAAGUGGAAUUCCUGGUGUAGCGGUGAAAUGCGCAGAUAUCAGGAGGAACACCAAUUGCGAAGGCAGCUCGCUGGGACGUUACUGACGCUGAGACGCGAAAGCGUGGGGAGCAAACAGG
rnacentral:rRNA from 1 species